rnacentral:tRNA from 1 species
GGCCUUGUGGCGAAACUGGUAGCGCGUCUGACUCCAGAUCAGAAAGCUAAGUGUUCAAGUCACUUCAAAGUGA